UACGGGGGGGGCAAGCGUUGUUCGGAAUUACUGGGCGUAAAGGGCUCGUAGGCGGCCAACUAAGUCGGAUGUGAAAUCCCCAGGCUUAACCUGGGAACUGCAUCCGAUACUGGAUGGCUUGAAUUCGGGAGAGGGAUGCGGAAUUCCAGGUGUAGCGGUGAAAUGCGUAGAUAUCUGGAGGAACACCGGUGGCGAAGGCGGCAUCCUGGACCGGCAUUGACGCUGAGGCGCGAAAGCCAGGGGAGCAAACGGG
rnacentral:rRNA from 1 species